AACGAACGCUGGCGGCAUGCCUAAUACAUGCAAGUCGAACGAGAUCUUCGGAUCUAGUGGCGCACGGGUGCGUAACGCGUGGGAAUCUGCCCUUGGGUUCGGAAUAACUUCUGGAAACGGAAGCUAAUACCGGAUGAUGACGUAAGUCCAAAGAUUUAUCGCCCAAGGAUGAGCCCGCGUAGGAUUAGGUAGUUGGUGAGGUAAAGGCUCACCAAGCCGACGAUCCUUAGCUGGUCUGAGAGGAUGAUCAGCCACACUGGGACUGAGACACGGCCCAGACUCCUACGGGAGGCAGCAGUAGGGAAUAUUGGACAAUGGGCGAAAGCCUGAUCCAGCAAUGCCGCGUGAGUGAUGAAGGCCUUAGGGUUGUAAAGCUCUUUUACCCGGGAGGAUAAUGACAGUACCGGGAGAAUAAGCUCCGGCUAACUCCGUG
rnacentral:rRNA from 1 species